UAGAACCUGAAUCUCCUGCAUCGACAAGCAAAUUCUUUACCACUGAGCCACCAAGGAAGCCCAAGACUAUUGUUUUAAAAUAAACAGUUUGAAAACAGUUGAGCGGUAGAGGAAGAAAGAAAGUGAGCCUUUGAAGAGGUACAGUCCAGGCUUUGAACCACAGUAUUACCACUUAUCUCACAGCAGCCUUGGAUUGGAUGCACACCCUGUAUUUAUAAGAAGUUACUACUUGCCAAGAAGGUGCUAAGAUACCUUCAGCUUGAAUUUCCCAGCAGAGACUCUUAAACACUAGAAUCUCAGACUCUACCCAAGAGAUUCUAGCUCAGUGGUCUGGAGUAGGACCUGAAAAUAAGUAUUUUUUUAAAAUCUGACUGCCAUGGUAAUUUUGAUUUGUUGGAAAUCACCAUUGUAGUCAAGGACAGUGGUGGCUUAAAGGAUGGUAUGUGGGGCUACAGCUAACCUCUUCCCAACCCACCCUCCCAA